AGGGUUCGAUUCUGGCUCAGGAUGAACGCUAGCUACAGGCUUAACACAUGCAAGUCGAGGGGCAGCAUUGGAGUAGCAAUACUCAGAUGGCGACCGGCGCACGGGUGAGUAACACGUAUCCAACCUGCCGCUUACUCGGGGAUAGCCUUUCGAAAGAAAGAUUAAUACCCGAUGGUAUAAAGAGUUCGCAUGUUCUCUUUAUUAAAGAAUUUCGGUAAGCGAUGGGGAUGCGUUCCAUUAGAUAGUUGGCGGGGUAACGGCCCACCAAGUCUACGAUGGAUAGGGGUUCUGAGAGGAAGGUCCCCCACAUUGGAACUGAGACACGGUCCAAACUCCUACGGGAGGCAGCAGUGAGGAAUAUUGGUCAAUGGACGCGAGUCUGAACCAGCCAAAAGUAGCGUGAAGGAUGACUGCCCUAUGGGUUGUAAACUUCUUUUAUAAGGGAAUAAAGUGAGGGACGUGUCCCUUUUUGUAUGUACCUUAUGAAUAAGGAUCGGCUAACUCCGUGCCAGCCGCCGC
rnacentral:rRNA from 1 species